GCCUGGGUGGCUCAGUGGUUGAGCAUCUGCCUUGGGCUCAGGUUGUGAUCCCAGGGUUGUGGGAUCAAGCCCCGCAUUGGGCU
rnacentral:tRNA from 1 species